CAUAUAGUGAUUUCAGUAGAACUGAUGAUCACUGAUAGUCGUAUUGAUUUAACCAUAAUACAAUUCAGAAGAGAAAUGUCCUUCUUUACUUCUGACCUGGCUUGUUUGGUGGGGCCUGAUCACAUGCCAAGAUACCAUUAGGAUUAACAAGCUCUUGUCUAAAUGAGACUCUGGAAUUUGCAGGGCCUCAUUGCCCAUAAAGUUUAACUCCUUAUUCUAUUUCUGCUCAUUCUUUAGUGUGUUCAUUCAUUUAUUCAAUCAAUCAUCUAUUCACAGACAUGAAGCGGGGUUCUUAUUCUGCACAAGGAACUUUGCAAGAGAUGGAUAAUAGCUGGGUCACCUCCGGUCACCAGGCAUCCCUCUGGAGAGAAGGAAAGAAAGAAAAAAAAGGGAGUGAAGGAGAGGAAGAAAGAGGAAGAAAAAGCCUUGACGUUUCUCUCCUUUGAAAGUAGAGGUGCGGCAGGGCAGCCUGUGCCAGCAAGGAAACAAACGUCCAGGGGAGAGAGGGAGGCAGUCCCUAUGUGGCUCCCAUGGAGACCCCAGGACAGGGGUAAAGUAGGCAGCAGGCUCCUUGUGAUCUCUCGCUCUGCUGCUCUCAGUAGAGCAGGAAUGAUUGGAACCACGCAGCAGUGAAUUUCAUGAUAGGAUAAUAUGGACACAUUUCCACUGCAGAAGGGAAUCGGGCUGUCUUGCCUCUCAGCACGCCUACUCCAGUGGGAGUCUGAAAUUACUGUCUUCAAACCCUCCAUUCACCUCGUUCCUCUUAUACCUUUCAUAUUUUCAGAAAAUCAGUACUGUGGUUAAUAAUAAAUAGAUGUAUUGUUACCUUUUAGUAAGAGCCAUAUUAUUUAGGGACAGUUUAUAUCAAUUUAAACACAUAUACUGUGUAUUUGGUGUGUGCGCGUGCGUGUGUAUCUCCAUUUAGACUUUGUAGUACAAGGGUCUGCUUUCUCCACUUUUGUCAUUCUUCCCUAAUAAACUGGUGUGUAUGUGUUUAUAUAUAUACACACACAAUUAGAUUUCGUUUACUUAUUCAUUCUCAAAGAUCAAAAGACAGGCAAGCCAGCAAAACAGACAGUGAUCACCUCAACAGCAUGUACUAGGUAACAAUUUCAUUUAAUGCACUGAUACCAGGUACUGUGGUCAAUAUAAAAAUGUAUAAGACCUGAUCACUCUCCCAGGGCCUUCUAGUCUACGAAAGCAGAUUAAGCUACAGAGACACAUGAUCAAUUCAAAAUAGAAAUUGUCAGUGUGAAAUACAAGAAAGCGCUUCGAGGUUUCUGAAGACAGUAAGAUUAUGUCUGUUUUGGGGGAUCAGAAAGUGUUCUGUGGGAUGCCUUCUGCACCGAGCUCAGAAGGAGGGAGCUUUGGAUACAUAGUGGUGGGUGGGUGGAGAUGGGGCACCCCAGGAGGUGGGAUAGUGCCCCUGGAAAAGCGCUGAGCACUUUCUGGACCUUUUAAAAAUUUAUUUAUUUUACCAAUGGACAAGAUAUGGCAUCUGGAUCCUUAAAUAGGCUGUUUGGCUGUGCUGUGGAGUUGUGAGUAUUAAGUUCUACCACAGCGAGAUCCUGAGAGUCUUUUGGUGUCACUAAGCAGUGACAUCAGUUUGAAUUUCACCAGUUGUAUUCGUUCCCUA
ensembl:lncRNA